GAUCCUGGCUCAGGAUGAACGCUAGCUACAGGCUUAACACAUGCAAGUCGAGGGGCAGCAUGAACUUAGCUUGCUAAGUUUGAUGGCGACCGGCGCACGGGUGAGUAACACGUAUCCAACCUGCCGAUGACUCGGGGAUAGCCUUUCGAAAGAAAGAUUAAUACCCGAUGGCAUAAUUCUUCCGCAUGGUAGAACUAUUAAAGAAUUUCGGUCAUCGAUGGGGAUGCGUUCCCAUUUAGGG
rnacentral:rRNA from 1 species